UUGACCGUACAUACGCAACAGUUUUUUUAUAUGAUGCUCAUAAGCAAAUAUAAUAGUCGAGGGAAAUUAUUUUUUAAAAACAAAAAAAAAAUUUACCACAAUUUUGCAAUUUUCAAACCAAUAUAUAAUUUGAUGGUUUCUUUUGGAUUAACUCAGAUAUUAGAAAAAAACUAUAAAAUCAUUAGUAAACCGCAGUGAACAUUUAAGAAAUAAAUUAAAUUGCCUUUAGGAAGACAUUUAACAGUGUUUAAUUUUUUAACAAGUUCAAAGCAAACAACAGAAGAAAUGUCAAAGCCAAAUAAUAUAUCUUUUGGAUUGCUUAAAAAACUACUUUUCUUUUUAGUUGCAAUGAUUUUAUUAAAGCCUUCGCAUGAAAAAACGAACGGCUGUUUGAUGGACGGAAAAUUUUAUAAAGUUGGUGAAAAAUUCAUUAAUGCAAAGUGUACAGCAAAGUGCACUUGUGAUGGAAUAAAUCAAUCUAGUUGCAUCGAUUUGUGUCCGUUAUCAAUAACUAAAUGUAAUCGAAAUGAACGUUUAGUUACUUAUAAAGCUCGAGUUUCACCAAAGUGCUUUUGCGAUAGACAACGUUGCGUUAGAUUUCAGUAAAACUUUUAAAUGGGUUUUGAGACAAUGAUAAGCUUGUAGUUGUAGUUUUUGUCAGUUUUUUACUUUUCUUAUUCUUUACAUCUUGUAUAUCUAUUUUGAUUAUAUGGUUUCUCUUGUA